GUCGAUUGGAUCGAUACAAAUUAUGUUUAAAUAUGAGUUAAAAGUACUUGUCCGGCCCAUAGUAGCUGAGGCAAUGGAAACGAACAAUGACUGCAAUUUGAAGAUGUGAUCAACGUUCAACAGCUGCCUCAUGAUUUACAACAACAAGAGCAUCAUCGUCAGCAAGCUCCGGAUGCUGCUCAACCUGUGGCUAAUGAGCUAGUAGCAAAUACAGAGGAAAAUGCUGAUGUGAAUAUGUUUGAUGAAGUCGAGCCAGAACAACCAGCCAUCUAUGAAAAAUUACAAGUCUUGGAUUUCCCUCAAGACGUAAUAGCAUCAGGAACAGCUGGAAUUUGAGUUUGCUGUUUAAUAAACCGCCCAAAAAUUUUAUUUUUACCAUGCGAUCAUUUAUGUCUGUGCAUGAAAAGCAAUUUGGGCCGAGAUAUAUUAGACGAUGGUAAAAAACAACGCGACCCUUCCUUUAAAUCAAUACGUCCGAUUUGUGCUGAGCCGUAUCAGACGAACAGAGAAAUUUUCUACUCAUCCUUAGAGUGACAAAUGUUUUUAAUUUACUUAUAUUUAUAUAUUUUUAUUUUAGCACAAUUUAUCGAUAUCUUACGAAGUUUGAUGACACAUAAUUGACUACGAUAAUUUUAAUUUGCUUUGUAUGUAUGAUAAAAUUAACAUGACAUGACAUUAAAAUAAUAAAAUGUAAAAUCCAGAAAAUAUAAUAAUAUGACAGCUUCAGCUUCAUAACCUUUAACACUCAAAAUGGUUCACUACCAUGCUUCGCGCAAAUUUUUAUGUUAAUGAUUGAUGCCGCUAUCUAUGAAGACUUUUAGAAAAAAAUAUGAAAUGAUGAGUUGUUAUCGACGGUAAAAAUUUAUCUUUAUCAAUGGUAGGUAUGACGCUUGGUAAAGAUUUUUUCGCGGUUGACAAUUAUGAUGGUAGACAUGGCUGUGGCAUAGCUUUCGUCAGUAGAGUAGGAUAGUGAUAGAGUUUGGGUUGGUAGAGUCUUAUUAUGGUAGUGAUCUAUCGCUGGCAAAUUAUUACUAUGGGAGUGGAAAAACUUUGGUAGUUUUAGACGUGAUAAUGUUAUUUUGUAGGUCGACAUUUCCUUGGUAGAAAUCGACCGAUAGAGAUUCUUGAAGGUAGACUUUUUUGUGGUAGUCUUGUAAAGGUCCCGUGCUAUUAACGCUGUCAGCGUCCAAGUAGAAAGUACCCAUAAUUUCGAUGGAAAGGCGAGUGUCAGUGUAUAACUAGCUGUGACUGUAAAUAAAAAUACAGUUAAUAAAUUAGUGAAUAAAAGAAAAAACAGACGUUUCUCAGAAAUUACAGUUGUUUUGUGCAGUUAUCGUAAUAUAUCCAUUAGAUAGCACAUUUCGAGAUUUCACGUCAUGUUGACGUUUCAGGUUAUGAUCCCCAGAGUUCUGUUGCGUGCGGAGUGUAAAAAAAUGAAAAUGGUUAUUGAAAAGUGGAAGG
rnacentral:lncRNA from 1 species